GGUUGACCUCGGAUCAGGUAGGAGUUACCCGCUGAACUUAAGCAUAUCAAUAAGCGGAGGAAAAGAAACCAACCGGGAUUGCCUCAGUAACGGCGAGUGAAGCGGCAAGAGCUCAAAUUUGAAAUCUGGCCCCUUGGGGUCCGAGUUGUAAUUUGCAGAGGAUGCUUCGGGUGCGGUCCCCGUCUAAGUGCCCUGGAACGGGCCGUCAUA
rnacentral:rRNA from 1 species